rnacentral:lncRNA from 1 species
GGUGCUCUAAGAUACACAUCAUAUUGUGGUCGUCCUCCAGAAUCGGUUUAUCGAUGAAGAAGAUAUUGUAAGAAUUCGGUCUAUAAAAUGGGAUGGAAACUGGUUUGAAAUCCGAGCUUCUCUUAGUUAUGAGCUGUUUGUGCCAAGAAUAUUCAACAGAGAUGAUAAUGGAAACUAUGGUCAGAUUUUGUAUAAUUUAUAUCCAAACCAGACCUGUAAUCCCUUUGUCCCCUCAUCAAUAUCUAUCCAUUCCAUGUGCUAAAAUUCAC